rnacentral:rRNA from 1 species
UCCGAACACAGAAGUUAAGCCUGUCAACGUUUUACAUUGUACUAAGAUGUGCGAACUCUCGGGAACUGUAGAAAGUCGCUAUGC